AUUGAACGCUGGCGGCGGGCCUAAUACAUGCAAGUCGAGCGGAGCUGCGGACGGGUGAGUAAUGCCUGGGGAUCAGCCUGGUAGUGGGGGAACACGUUCGGCGACGGACGCUAAUACCGCAUACUUUCAGCUGAGCCUCGGUGGGAUUAUCUAGUGGGUGCGGUAAUGGAUCACCAAGGCUACGAUCCGUAACUGGUCUGAGCGGAUGAUCAGUCACACUGGAACUGAGACACGGUCCAGACUCCUACGGGAGGCAGCAGUGGGGAAUAUUGGACAAUGGGCGAAAGUCUGAUCCAGCCAUGCCGCGUCUGUGAAGAAGGUCUUCGGAUUGUAAAGCACUUUAAGUUGGGAGGCGUUACCGACAGAAUAAGCACCGGCUAACUCUGUGCCAGCAGCCGCGGUAAUUC
rnacentral:rRNA from 1 species